GCCUUCGUGAUGUAGUGGUCAGCACACUUAGCAUGUAUUCGAGAUGUCCGUGGUUCGAAUCCCGGCAAGGGCA
rnacentral:tRNA from 1 species